rnacentral:lncRNA from 1 species
CACCUAGCAACUGAGUGAAAACAUCAAACAUGAUGUGUGCACAGGAGCUGAUGAUACUGAGUCUCUGAUGCAUGCUGCCAUGUGGAUGGAUCCAGAAGACACCAGUAAUAGAGAGAAGCCAGACAUAAGACCACCGUUCCAAGUGUGCAUUAAAUGAUGACAGAGGAGAGUCUACACUGCUGAGCUGAGGAACCAGAGUAAGGAUGGAAUGAUCCAGGCUUGGUGGCUCAUGCAUGUAAUCUCAGUGCUGAGGCAGGAGGAUUGUUAGAAGUUCAAUGUCAGCCUGGGCUACAGAGUGAGACCCUGUCUCAAGAAGAGUAAUAGUUUUGCAGACCUGCACCUUGGAUCAAAACAUCUCCCAUGGGGCGGCGCUUCCGGCUGCCCCUCAUUUCUCAUCUAUGGACUCUGAGAAAUGAAGAAGUGAAAUCAGAGCUUUGCCAGCACAGGAAUCGUGUUCCUCUUUACGAACCAAACGGGAGCUCUCCAUUCACAGUGUGACCAGCAGCUGGGGCUAAGAGCAGGGCCCCCUCCAGAGCAGAGCCCAGUGUGGCUCAAUGGCAGAGCUCAUGG